rnacentral:tRNA from 1 species
GGAGAGAUGGUCGAGUGGUUGAAGGCAGCGGUCUUGAAAACCGCCGAGGCGUAAGCCUCCGAGGGUUCGAAUCCCUCUCUCUCCGCCA